GACGAACGCUGGCGGCGUGCUUAACACAUGCAAGUCGAACGGUAAGGCCCUUCGGGGUACACGAGUGGCGAACGGGUGAGUAACACGUGGGUGAUCUGCCCUGCACUUCGGGAUAAGCCUGGGAAACUGGGUCUAAUACCGGAUAGGACUCCGGACUGCAUGGUCUGGGGUGGAAAGCUUUUGCGGUGUGGGAUGGGCCCGCGGCCUAUCAGCUUGUUGGUGGGGUGAUGGCCUACCAAGGCGACGACGGGUAGCCGGCCUGAGAGGGUGACCGGCCACACUGGGACUGAGAUCCGGCCCAGACUCCUACGGGAGGAAGCAGUGGGGAAUAUUGCACAAUGGGCGCAAGCCUGAUGCAGCGACGCCGCGUGAGGGAUGACGGCCUUCGGGUUGUAAACCUCUUUCAGCACAGACGAAGCGCAAGUGACGGUAUGUGCAGAAGAAGGACCGGCCAACUACGUGCCAGCAGCCGCCGUAA
rnacentral:rRNA from 1 species